AUGGCCUGGUCCUCUGUCCUCUUUGCUCUCCUUACUUACUGCACAGCAUCUUGGGGACAGUCUGUGCUGACCCAAACAUCCUCAGUGUCUGGAAACCUUGGACAGAGAAUCUCCAUCUCAUGCACUGGAAGUAGCAGCAACAUUGGUGGUUAUUACAUGUACUGGUACCAACAGCUCCCAGGAUCAUCUCCUAAACUCAUCAUCUAUGAGGAUAGCAAGAGACCCUCUGGGUGUCUGACCGCUUCUCUGGCUCCAGUCUGGCAACUCAGGCACCCUGACCAUUACUGGUCUUCAGUCUGAGGAUGAGGCUGAUUAUUACUGUCAGUCCUAUGAUUACAGCCUUGGUACUCACACAGUGCUCCAGACUCAUGGGGAAGUGAGAUAA